rnacentral:rRNA from 1 species
UACGAGGGGAGCUAGCGUUGUUCGGAAUCACUGGGCGUAAAGCGCACGUAGGCGGAUUUGCCAGUCAGGGGUGAAAUCCCGGGGCUCAACCUCGGAACUGCCUUUGAUACAGCAAGUCUUGAGUUCGAGAGAGGUGGGUGGAAUUCCUAGUGUAGAGGUGAAAUUCGUAGAUAUUAGGAAGAACACCGGUGGCGAAGGCGGCCCACUGGCUCGACACUGACGCUGAGGUGCGAAAGCGUGGGGAGCAAACAGG